CCCUUAGAUGUUCUGGGCCGCACACGCGCUACACUGAAGGAGGCAGCGUGUACUCCUGGAUCGAAAGAUUUGGGUAACCCGCGAAUCUCCUUCGUGCUAGGGAUUGAGGUUUGCAAUUAUCCUUCAUGAACGAGGAAUUCCCAGUAAGUGCAAGUCAUAAGCUUGCGCUGACUACGUCCCUGCCCUUUGUACACACCGCCCGUCGCUCCUACCGAUUUCGAGUGGUCCGGUGAAUCUUUCGGACUGCGCGCGGCCUCGUGCUGUGUCGCGGAAAGUCAGGUAAACCUUAUCACUUAGAGGAAGGAGAAGUCGUAACA
rnacentral:rRNA from 1 species